UCAAUUGCAGAGCAGGAAAAAAAUUACGCGCAAAUUAUCAAGAACUUCAAAAUCGCCAAUAGAACAGGUUCUAGCACGUACAGUUCUGAUGUUUUAUUACAAUUUGAUGUCUAUCACAAUGUAAUGUUAUACUACAGACAUCGCCGUAUUGUACAACACAGGACAAUCGUAUUUGAGUGGAAGCAAUCCAUAGUGGUAGAUACUGUGUUCUAAUUGGUGGCACAUCUGUGUAUAUAUUAUCAUAUAGCAACAUGCCACCCAGAAAAAGACAAAAAACAGCUAAGGCUGCUGCAGCCGAGAAAGCUGCUAAAACCAAACGAGGACCUAAACCAAUUGAGCAGGUUACGGAAGCUGUCACAUCCAAUUUAUCGGAUAAAGACUUGAAUACAAUUAUAUCAAAUGUUGUUCCUGCUGUCACACAAGGUGUAUUACAGGUAUUAAAAGACUUGAAGGUAAUACCGCCUGAAAAUCCUCAGAAUCAAAACUUCGAAGAAGAACAGAUACCUUUGCCCACGCAAAGCUCUUCGGCAUCUGUACCAACACCAUUGUUGGCAGCUUCGGAUAGAUGGGUAGAUUCAACUGCACUGUGUCUGUACACAGAUUCGUCUAACAUAGGCUUUGGGGGUUACUUAGGAAAUUACUGGUUUGCCGAAGAAUAUUAAAAACAUGGUAUAACUUACACAUUUCUCUCAAAGAGCUGUUUCCAAUUGUGUUGACGUUUUGGGCACCUAAGAUCCAAAACAAAUGUAUCAACUUUUUUGUAACAAUAUAGCAGUUGUAGGCUUGAUAAAUAAACAAACAUCUCGGGACCCAAAUAUUAUGUGCCUGGUCAGAAGAUUAGUUUUACAGUGUUUGAAAAAUAACAUCUUGUUUAAAGCCACACAUUUUCCUGAUGUUACUAAUGUAUUAGCUGAUAAACUCUCUCGACUUCAGAUAGACGAUUUUCUGGAAAUGUGCGAAUAUCAGCCACUCAAGCGCCAGCAUGUAACAAAAGACAGUUUCACCAUUUAGUUGGUUUGGUUUCGCAUUUGGUACACAGCUCUUUAUCCCCAUCCACACACACUGUCUACCAGAGAGCUUUUGAUGUUUAUCAGGAAUUUUUGGCACAAACUUUUAACAGUCAGUAUGGUGUGCCUGUAUAUAGAGAUCAUCUGUUAUUAUUUAUAGCUUUCUGUUUUAACAAACAAUUAGCAGCAUUUACAGUAUCAACAUAUAUCUCUGCACUUGGCAAUUUUAUGAAAUUGAAAGACUUGCCAGAUGUUACACAAUUGUUUUUAGUCAAAAAAGCAUUGCAAGGUUAUCAUAAUUUAGUUCCUAAAACAGACACACGGUUACCAAUCACAAAUGAAAUAUUGCAUAACUUAAUACUGUCACUGGACGCUGUUUGCAAUUCGCAAUUCUUACGUAUACUGUUAACGGCCAUGUAUUUAUUGGCCUUUCAUGCUUUCCUUCGAGUUGGAGAAUUUACUUCUUCCUCUCCGGAAUCGUAUAUUAUAGGAGUAGAACAUGUGACAUUCAAUCGUUUUCAUGGCGAACUAAAUAGCUUUGACCUAGUUUCGAAAAACUAUAAAUAUAGUCGAGGCAAGACUCAUAAACUGCAUAUAUCAUGUUGUCACCAUGAAUUGAAUAUGUGUCCAGUACAUGCAUUGUACUCGUAUUAAACAUUACGUAACCCUCCACCAGGCCCACUGUUUUCAUUUUUGAUAAUAGUCCAGUGACAAGAUCUUUCUUUUGUACCAAGCUUCAAAUGUCACUCACUUGGGCAGGUUAUAGUACUGACUUUUACAAAGGUCACAGUUUCCGCAUUGGUGCUGCAUCGCAAGCAGCUUUCUCGGGAGUUCCAGAGGAAAAAAAUUCGACUUAUGGGCAGGUGGUCUUCAAACGCUUUUAAAAAGUAUAUUCGCAUUCCUAUGGGAGAACAAUCAAAUGGGACCAAAGCUUCAACAAAAUAGUUACAUCAUGGUCACAAAAGUGAUGGGGUCAAGGGUCUCUCACCUUGUGAUUAUCAUGUUAACAAGUAUUCUUCAGUUCUCCUCUUAAAACUAAUAUGUAUCAGUAUUGCCAUGGGUUUGAGAAAUCCUGCACCUUUGUUUGGGGUGGAUGAUUGUUUUAAUAUUUAGUUUUCUUAUAGUUGUGAUUUGUAUUGCUAGUGGUGCGAUGGGGUCAUGGGUCUCUCGCACUUGAGUUAUCAUGUCUUAGGUACAUAAAGUUUAUGAGCAGGCAAUUUUUCAUGUUUUUUAUGAAUUAUUUAUACUUCGCUUUGUGUCAUGGUGUCACGGGUUACUCACCUCUUUUCCAACUGUAUUAUUAUUAUUAUAAUAUUUUUUUAUUUUUUAUUUUUUUUUUUUUGAAAACUUUCUGCACGUUAUAGGGUGUAACACUUGAGUAAGGUUGAUAAAUAAAUAUACACUCACUUUCUUCGGAUGGGGUUAUUGCUAAUAACUUAAUAAAUGAAAUCCAUUUAUCAUGUUUUUGCAAUAUAUGGCAUAAAGGUUAGAUCCCCACCUAUGAUGAUGCAUAUUAACUGUUAAUGUUUGUCUUCUCUUGAUAAAACUAGUCACCUAUCACAUAUUAUUUAUGAUGCUGUAACAGAACCAUUUAUUGUUUACUGUGUUUUCAAAUUCGUCAUUUACAUAUUAAAUGACAGAUUUCAAUCAAAGA
rnacentral:misc_RNA from 1 species